UACGGAGAGUGCAAACGUUGUUCGGAUUCACUGGGCGUAAAGGGCACGUAGGCGGCUCGGCAAAUCGGUCGUGGAAUCUCGACGCUUACCGUCGAAACGGCGGCCGAAAAUACCGGGCUCGAGGGCGUGAGGGGUCACUGGAACUCCUGGUGAAGCGGUGAAAUGCGCAGAUAUCAGGAGGAACACCGAUGGCGAAGGCAGGUCUCUGGGCCACUACUGACGCUGAGAAGCGAAAGCAUGGGGAGCGAACAGG
rnacentral:rRNA from 1 species